AGUGAACGCUGGCGGUAGGCCUAACGCAUGCAAGUCGUACGGCAGCCCAGUAAGAGCUUGCUCUUCCGAGUGGCGAGUGGCGGACGGGCGAGGAAUACAUCGGCAUCUACUUUUUCGUGGGGGAUAACGUAGGGGAACAUACGCUAAUACCGCAUACGACCUACGGGUGAGCGCAGGGGAUCUUCGUACCUUGCGCGAUUGUAUGAGCCGAUGUCGGAUUAGCUAGUUGGCGGGGUAAAGGCCCACCAAGUCGACGAUCCGUAGCUGGUCUGAGAGGAUGAUGAGCCACACUGGAAAUGAGAGACGGCCAAGACUGGUAUGGGAGACAGCAGUUGGGAAUAUUGGACAAUGGGGGCAAGCCUGAUGCAGCCAGACCGCGUGGGUGAAGAAGGCAUUCGGGUUGUAAAGCCCUUUUGUUGGGAAAGAAAAGCAGCAGGUUAAUACCCCGCUGUUCUGACGGUACCCAAAGAAUAAGCACCGGCUAACUUCGUG
rnacentral:rRNA from 1 species